rnacentral:rRNA from 1 species
UAAACGAUGCAUACUUGGUGUGGGUAAUUCAUUUUAUCUGUGCCGGAGCUAACGCGUUAAGUAUGCCGCCUGGGGAGUACGGUCGCAGGGCUGAAACUCAAAGGAAUUGACGGGGGCCCGCACAAGCGGUGGAGCAUGUGGUUUAAUUCGACGCAACGCGAAGAACCUUACCUGGGCUCGAACGGCUACGGCAAGCUUCUGGAAACAGGGGCCCUCCCGCAAGGGACUGUAGUCGAGGUGCUGCAUGGCUGUCGUCAGCUCGUGUCGUGAGAUGUUGGGUUAAGUCCCGCAACGAGCGCAACCCUUGUCCUGUGUUGCUAAUCCGAAAGGAUGCACACUCAGGAGACCGCCAGGGAUAACCUGGAGGAAGGUGGGGAUGACGUCAAGUCAUCAUGGCCUUUAUGUCCAGGGCUACACACGUGCUACAAUGGACGGUACAAAGCGCAGCAAACCCGCGAGGGAGAGCAAAUCGCAAAAAACCGUUCUCAGUUCGGAUUGCAGGCUGCAACUCGCCUGCAUGAAGCUGGAAUCGCUAGUAAUGGCAUAUCAGAACGAUGCCGUGAAUACGUUCCCGGGCCUUGUACACACCGCCCGUCACAUCACGAAAGUGGGUUGUACUAGAAGUCUGCGCGCUAACCCGCAAGGGGAGCAGCGGCCCAAGGUAUGACUCAUGAUUGGGGUG